AACGAUGUAGUUUGGAAAAAGGAUAAGGUUCAAAAAAAUUUGGCUUUUGAUCUUCACGAAAAAAACAGCUCUUCUCCUUCACCAAACGGCGCCGAAAAUAGAAUUUCAAUCUCACCUUUCUCAUGCGAACUUCCAGCGCAUUGCCGUCUUCUGCUCCUGCUUCCUCUUCACCGUUCAUACAAUUCCAUUAACCUCUUCUCUGAUCGAACUCGAAUCGCGACAAUCCUCUUCUUCGAAUGUGAACCAUGUUGUCCGCUUCUCUAUUCAAUCUUCUUCGCAGAUUUCUGCCGCCGAUCAUCUCAAAUCCUAAAUCGCAGCGACGGCUAUCUCAACCUCCUAAUCACCUUUUUUGCUCUGCAUCGAAUGAAAUAA